GAACGCCGGCGGUGUGCUAAUACAUGCAAGUCGAACGCGUUGGCCCAGUUGAUUGAUGGUGCUUGCACCUGAUUGAUUUUGGUUGCCAGCGAGUGGCGGACGGGUGAGUAACACGUAGGUAACCUGCCCAGAAGCGGGGGACAACAUUUGGAAACAGAUGCUAAUACCGCAUAACAGUGUUGUUCGCAUGAACAACGCUUAAAAGAUGGCUUCUCGCUAUCACUUCUGGAUGGACCUGCGGUGCAUUAGCUUGUUGGUGGGGUAGCGGCCUACCAAGGCGAUGAUGCAUAGCCGAGUUGAGAGACUGAUCGGCCACAAUGGGACUGAGACACGGCCCAUACUCCUACGGGAGGCAGCAGUAGGGAAUCUUGCACAAUGGGCGCAAGCCUGAUGGAGCAACACCGCGUGAGUGAAGAAGGGUUUCGGCUCGUAAAGUUCUGUUGUUAAAGAAGAACACGUAUGAGAGUAACUGUUCAUGCGUUAACGGUAUUUAACCAGAAAGUCACGGCUAACUACGUGCCAGCAGCCACGGUAAUACGUAAGUGGCAAGCGUUAUCCGGAUUUAUUGGGCGUAAAGAGAGUGUAGGCGGUUUUCUAAGUCUGAUGUGAAAGCCUUCGGCUUAACCGGAGAAGUGCAUCGGAAACUGGAUAACUUGAGUGCAGAAGAGGGUAGUGGAACUCCAUGUGUAGCGGUGGAAUGCGUAGAUAUAUGGAAGAACACCAGUGGCGAAGGCGGCUACCUGGUCUGCAACUGACGCUGAGACUCGAAAGCAUGGGUAGCGAACAGGAUUAGAUACCCUGGUAGUCCAUGCCGUAAACGAUGAGUGCUAGGUGUUGGAGGGUUUCCGCCCUUCAGUGCCGGAGCUAACGCAUUAA
rnacentral:rRNA from 1 species